GUAGGUGGCAAGCGUUGUCCGGAAUUAUUGGGCGUAAAGCGCGCGCAGGCGGUUCUUUAAGUCUGAUGUGAAAGCCCACGGCUCAACCGUGGAGGGUCAUUGGAAACUGGAGAACUUGAGUACAGAAGAGGAAAGCGGAAUUCCACGUGUAGCGGUGAAAUGCGUAGAGAUGUGGAGGAACACCAGUGGCGAAGGCGGCUUUCUGGUCUGUAACUGACGCUGAGGCGCGAAAGCGUGGGGAGCAAACAGGAUUAGAUACCCUGGUAGUCCACGCCGUAAGCGAUGAGUGCUAAGUGUUAGGGGGUUUCCGCCCCUUAGUGCUGCAGCUAACGCAUUAAGCACUCCGCCUGGGAGUACGGCCGCAAGGCUG
rnacentral:rRNA from 1 species